GGAAAGUUUUAUUUUAGCUUAAAAAUUCAAUUAAUAAUUUUUUUACAUGUAAAUUUUUGUGUGAUAAUUUUUAUACUUAAAUAGUAUAAAUUAUUUAUUUAUUCGCAGUAUUUAUUUUUAUAUAUUAAGUAAUUUUAGAUUUAGAUAUUUAUUUUAUUAUUAACAAAUUUUGUGCCAGCAGUUGCGGUUAUACAACAAAUGAAAUUGAAUUGUAUUAGUAUAUAAUUAAAUGAUUAUGUUUAAAUUAAGGAUUUAUUUAUUAGAUGAAAUUUUAAUUAAAUUAAUAAUUUACAUUUUAUUAUUUGAGGUUAUUAAAUUUAUUAUUAAACUAGGAUUAGAUACCCUAUUAUUUUAAAUGUAAUUUAUUUAUACUUAAUUAUUAUUAGUUAAGUUCUUCAAAAUUAAAAGUUUUGGCGGUAUUUUAAUCUUUUUAGAGGAACCUGUUCUGUAAUUGAUAUUCCACGAUAAGUUAAACUUUUUCUUAAUUUGUAUAUCGUUGUUUGAAAAAAAUUUUAUUAGAAUUUUAAUUUUUGUAAUUAAUAUUAAUUAAAUAAAUCAGAUCAAGACAUAGUUUAUGGAAAAGUAGAAAUGGGUUACAAUAAUUUUAUUUAUUUAAGGAUAAAAAAUUUAAAUGUUUUUUUGAAUGUGGAUUUAAAAGUAAUCUUAUUUAUUUAAUAUGAUGACUAAAGUUUUGAAAUAUGCACAUAUCGCCCGUCGCUCUUUUUACAAAGAAAGAUAAGUCGUAACAUAGUAGGCGUACUGGAAAGUGUGCCUAGAAAGU
rnacentral:ncRNA from 1 species